rnacentral:rRNA from 1 species
UUGAACGCUGGCGGCAGGCCUAACACAUGCAAGUCGAGCGGAUGAAGGGAGCUUGCUCCUGGAUUCAGCGGCGGACGGGUGAGUAAUGCCUAGGAAUCUGCCUGGUAGUGGGGGAUAACGUCCGGAAACGGGCGCUAAUACCGCAUACGUCCUGAGGGAGAAAGUGGGGGAUCUUCGGACCUCACGCUAUCAGAUGAGCCUAGGUCGGAUUAGCUAGUUGGUGGGGUAAAGGCCUACCAAGGCGACGAUCCGUAACUGGUCUGAGAGGAUGAUCAGUCACACUGGAACUGAGACACGGUCCAGACUCCUACGGGAGGCAGCAGUGGGGAAUAUUGGACAAUGGGCGAAAGCCUGAUCCAGCCAUGCCGCGUGUGUGAAGAAGGUCUUCGGAUUGUAAAGCACUUUAAGUUGGGAGGAAGGGCAGUAAGUUAAUACCUUGCUGUUUUGACGUUAGCAACAGAAUAAGCACCGGCUAACUUCGUG